GCGGGUGUGGUGUAUGGAACAUAGUUGGUGUUCAUUAUUUUAUCGAGAACCAGUUGAUGCAGCAGACUCGGGUUCGAUUCCCGGCACCCGCA